rnacentral:lncRNA from 1 species
UUUCGUGAGCGUGCGCCUCUGGAUCCUUGGAUCUGCCAGCUCAAUUAAUGAGCUCAGAUCCAAGGGCGCUCGUUUUUUUGCAUUUUUCUAAUUUCUGUUUUUAUUUUGUUUAUUUCCUUUUAUUUCAAAAAAUCAUAUCUCUCUCAUUUUAAUUCCAAAAAAUAUGGGACCAAUUGCAUUAUUUCCCAAAUAAAUUCUAGUUUCUAUUUCUGAUUUUUAAUAUUUUUUAUUUCAU